UGGGGACGGGGGCUGGGACUCGGACUUAGCGGAUCGCUGAGGGUUGUGGCGGGUCUUUGGGGACUGCAGUGGGUUUUUUAGGAGCUGUAGGGCUUGGGGCGCGGUGUAAUUUGUGGCUGCAGGGUUGCGUGGGGGCUGUGGUGGGCUGUAGGGUGAGGCUGCGUGGGGGCUGCAGUGGGUUUGUGGAGCUUUGAGGGGCACGUGGGCUCUGGGGUGUACUUUGGGGCUUUCAAGGUGUGUGUGUGUGUUUUGGGUGCCCCACAGGGCUGUAGUGAGCUGCAGGAGGAUGCCCUGUGGGGCUGUAGCGGAGCACUGGGUCUGUAGGACCUGAAAUGGGAUGUAAUUUGGAGGUGUAGUGGUGUGGGGCUGUGGUGGGCUGUGGGACUAGAAAGAGCUGCCCUGUGGGGCUGCGGUGGGUAAUGGAAACUGUGGAGCUUGGGGCAGGAUGUAGUUGGUGUCUGCAAGGCUGUAUGGAGGCUGUGGGAUCCAUCCCAUGGGGCCAUGGGGGGAUGCCCUAUGGGACUGCAGUGGGUUGUAGGGUCAAGGGGAUGCUCCCUGAGCUGUGUGGGGAAGGGGCUGUAGCAAAACCCCAGCGUGACGUCUCCUCGUCCAGCUCCUGCGCUGAUCCCUGUUACGUGAGAUUGUUUCACCCAGAACCCCCACCAAAGUGAAGGGAAGACUUGAGGAAUCCCUGGAGCAGUUUUGGGAUGCUUGAGAAAGAAGAGGAGACAUUUCAAGACCGGGGACAAAAACAAAACUAAAAUAACAAAAAAAAAAACCACCAAUAAAGCGACAACAGAUAAACAGCUGUCAGUUGGGAAUGACAGAUUGGAGAGAUAUUAUCAGGCAGGACAGCAAAAUGCCUGGCUAGAUUAAAUUAACGCAAGGAUUUUUUUUUUUUUCCACCAUUUAUUUUAGGAAAGCAAGUGAGAAUGCUGCAACAAAAUCUGGCUGUGGAUGAAACAUUUUUGCAGCAGCCUUGGAGGCUGAACGUCAGCUGAGGAUCUCAAAAGUGAGGGGGAGCAGCAAGCGCUUUGUCUCGAGACCCUUUUUUUGGGACCUGAGGGAAUGGUGUUUCUACUGCAGCAGUGCAGUAAAAACUUGCAUGCGAGGUACCAAUUUCCACAGCUCUACCUUGGCUGCUGCACUAAUGAGGUUUUUGGAAGUUUGAGGUCUUAGUGUGGCAUUUAAAAUUUCACUUACCCAAAGCCUUCAGGUUUUUUGUUGUUUUUUUUUUUCCUGCCAUUUACCACAAGGGUAUUAAAGGAAAUAUUUUACUGAGGAUCUUGCUAAUAAUAUACUCCCUCGUCCUGGAGAAAAUAUUCCACCUUGGCAUUUGGAGCCUCACUAACAAGCAGCCAGAGAGGAGCGAUGCCAUAUAAAACUGUAACCUCUACAUAUGAAAUUUCGGAGAUUGCAGCGAGCAGCGGGUGCCAGCUCCAUGCCGGCAGCAGGGAGGAGGCAGAGGGAACGCCAUCAGCUCGCUACUGGCUGCUCCACAGAGCACAUAGCCCCAGGAGUUUCUCUGCCCGGUGUCCUGUUACCACUUGAAUCAAGACGUGAACGUCAAGCCAGCUUAUUUUUAACACAUUUUGGACCUAAAGAAGCAAAUGCUGGUGAAAUAUGCAGUACUGACAGCCCUGGAAAAUCUUUAUUCAUCUGCAGCUCAGGAAGCAGGGAAGGAUGCGAGAAAGCAAAGCAAUCGCAAGCUACAAACCGAGUCUCCCAGCUUCUUGGGCUCAGCCUCCCUACCGCUGCACAGAUCCUGGCAGUAGCUGGGAGAGGGUUUUUCCACGCUCAGAGCGGGCCUGGCACGGCAAGGAGGAGCGCAGCGUGCUGCAGAUUUGGACAGCCUGCAAGCCUCCAGCUGAGCUCAUUGCGUCUGCCAGAGCUCAACUGCAGCAGCGGUGGGGCUGUAAAAAUGGGAGAGACUCGGAAAACUUGAGUAUCUGAGCCCUGCUCUGCUAAGCUCUGUGAGUUUACUGCGUUAAUACGAUGUUGGAUCUGUGCAGCUGGGCGGUCCAGUGGCACUGAUACUGCCUUGUAUGACCUCUGUCACUCAGACCCUCUGCUCUGUGGAAGAACCCAGAAGGAGGACACCUAUGACACAGCCAUCAUGCGGUGCAGGCAUGUUUCUAUCCCCAUCACUUGGGACCUUGCUGAAAUUCUCCAGUGCAUUUUGGCAUCUGCAGGAGCUGAGCUGGCUGGGGGCUGGUAGAUCCUUGCAGGCAGCAGUUGGCUGCAGUGGGGAUGGGGCCAUGGAGGGGAACAGAGCAGCAAAAAUGGGUCCCUUCAGCAUUGGGGGCACAGCCAGGACAUCCCUGGAUGUGUGCCGGGAACGGUAGCUGGGGUUGUUGAAGGUGACCACAGGAGAUGUCCCCUGCAUCUCUUCUCCAGGAGGAUGCGCACACAGCGUUAACACGUUUGUCGUCAGUAGGUCUGAAUCCAACCACGGACAGCUCAGGGAUCUGACAAUUGUUUGUGUCUGCCUCGAGACAAAUAUCUCAUUGCCCCCUUUGCAAGUUUGCUCCUCUGCUACGCGUGUGUUUCGAGUUUCCUCAUGCAGAACCUGCGUGGGUGUUUGGAUACGUAAUGAGCACAUAGUUCAGGAUGAAAACAAGUUGCCUGGAAGAGCCAAGUAACGCCAAAAAAAUGAAAGCAAUACAAACAACAACAUGGCACGCAGCCAUACCAGCUAGACUGUGGGCCAGCCGGAUCUCACGUACUCUCCGGAGCUGCAGAGCCGAUCAGCUGUUGGAAAAAGAGACCUUUAAAGACAAGUGAGAGGAAAUAGCAUUGGCAGUGCAGGCCACAGCAUGUUUCCUUCCAAAGGAGGACAGAGCCAAGGACAUGAGACAGAGCUGUAACAUUUGGGGUCUUGUUGCUCAGCAAGGCAAAAACCUCCAGUGGGUUGUAGCUGUGUAAACGCCUGUUGUUUUCUGAGAAGAAUCAGAGCACUGGCUUGAUCGGGUGUUGUCACACCAGAUUUUGACAAUGCUUGCUCACCUAAGUGAGCUCCCUCUGCAAAACGAAGCCCUGGCUUUUACUCAGUGCUCCAUGCUGGGGAAAUAAACCUGCCUGCCUGCACAAGUCUCAGGCUGGAGAGUAUCUUCCAAGACCUCCCAUAGGAUCUUCAAAGAAAAAUACCAUUAUCCUAUGGACCAGAGCAGGACCAGAGCAAUUCCAAGAAUUUCCCCGAAGUGGUCUCACUAAUUAUUAUCUCAUUUUGAUAAAAUGAAUGGGGAAGAAAUAGUGGUGAAGCUGUUUGAAAUGCAUUUUCUGCAGAGCCUGAAUGAAUUUCCAUAUACAAAAAGGGGUGAGAGCAGGCCUCAAAGACAGGUUACUUAAUUUUUCCUUUGCCCUCAUCCAUUUCGAGCAAGGGAUCAUCUGUACCUCCUUAUAACACAGUGAAACAGUACUUCUUUUAGCAUAAGAAAAUAGGUCUAAUUGCAUAGACUCUGAUCCAAGCAUCUGCUCCUAGGCCAUUCACUUAAAUACCUGUCUGAGACCUCUUCACCAGCUCUUAGAGCACCUGUUCAUUGGUUAAAGGCUUAAAGCAGUGAAAGCUUGCUGGCAGUCUGGGAGGUUGAAAGGGCCCUUAAAUACCAGAGCUUCCAUAUGCAUAUUGGCAUUUUUCUUUGCAUAAAUGCUAGCUUUAAAAGGCUUGUUUUACGAAGCACAAGUGCACUUUUAUGAUUUUUUUUUUUAUUUUUUUUUUACAUCAAGGUCAGUAACUCAGCUUCAUUCAUCAGUCUCCAGCUGCAAACAUGCUCCAGACAAUGGAGAAGAGUGUAUCUGAGCCAGGAAGUGCCAUUUCAGGGGACGUGAGUGGCUCUGAACUGCACUGGGGAAAGAGGAUCUUGGUGCCCUUGUGCACUCGGACCUACACAAACUGAAAUAGGGUGCUUGAGGGCAGGAAAAGCUGCUUAGAUGGGCACAAAUAACACUUACGCUCGGUGAGCUUCAGUAAAAGGCACCUCUCAAAUGUCACCGCUGUGCUGUUGGCUCCGGUGUGAUGCAGCCGACAUUGUGCUCCCCUCCACAAAGGCAAUCCAGAAGUUUUCAGCAUGUUACAGAGAAGCAUUUCUGUUCUCUGGGAAGACAGGAUAGCUGCAUACCCAGCAGGUGGCUUCACUUCUCAGCACGCUCAGCUUCUCCCUCUCCAUAGGAAGCUGUUUCCCAGGAGCUGCAUAUGGGCAUGGCCUGGUUCCUGAGUCCAUUCAGAUACUGCUUGUUUCUGUGGCUUGGUGAUUUUGCAAUCUGCCUCUUGGGAAGAGGAGGGAGACAAAAGCCCUGUGACUGCUGAAGGCUUGGGACGGAUUCAUGCUUAUGAGCAGUCAUCCAUGUGGAUUUGGCAGCCAGAGCUCAGAGGUUUGUGGGCUGCCUGAGUGUCAUCCCUGCUGCUUUGGCAACCUGCUACCACAUGCAUAGACUGACUGAAGGGCUCAGGGACCUCUCCACAUAGCUGAGAAUGAGGAGAAGAGGGACAGGAGGGUGACCCAAGUCACCAUGACUUCCAGCAUAGGCACCUCAAAAUACCCAGUCCAGAAAGUAUCUAAUCAGCACGUGCUGGAAGAAGGCAAGUUCCCUUUUUGUCAAAAGAAGCAUUGCAAACCUCAAAAUGGAAGGAGCCUAAGAGCAUCCUGGAUAUGGAUAUGAAUAUAGCCCUACACGUUGCCCAGCAAGAGCUUUGCUCGUGGUUACCAGCUCCACACUUUUCCUGCAUGCCUUUGGAGCACUUACCAACAACUGGCUUGUGCUGCUGCCCCUCCCCGGGAAUAUGCAGCUCCAAGGAUAAAAAUAAAUAACUUCUUGUGGAAAUGGAAAAAGAUAGAACAGGCAAAAAGUGUGAAUCAGGACAGAUUUGCAAGGGAAAAGGAAAGGUGGUCUGAAGAAUAACCACAAAACACUGAUCGAUACUACAGGGCAGUUUCAGAGAGGUGAAAGGGUUGCCAAAAUGCCAGCCUGGGAAGUACUAGAGAGAUAGGUCUACCUCUGGAGUACGAGAGCCAGAAGAUGUAUACCUCUUCUGCCUGAAAUCAUCUGGGCAAGGCCAAAGGGGAUAGCCACAAAAUGGGCAACUCAGAAAGUGGCUGGGAACAUCAGGAACCAAUGGAGGUCUUGGGCUUGGGUGGACUGGAGGUGCCAAGCCUGCUCACAGAGACUGCUGGGAUGGAUGUCGUAUCAAGAGUGAUUCAAGCCACCCACAGCUCCUGCCCGCUUAGACCUUGGCUUCCCGUGCUGCCUGCGAGAAGCAGUCACGUCUCCCUGUGUAGGCAUCUAGAGUACACAGCAAAGGAAAAACAGCUAAAGAUGAAGAAAAGAUAAUUCCAAGAAAAUGAUUGGGUGUAUUAAGCAAGAAUAGUAUGUCCUCCAGAUUGCUGAAAGAGGAAAAGAAGCAACAGUGGUGACCUUUUAUACGUGGUGGAAAACCAGGAAGAUAGCUGGGUACUUGGGAAAGAGGUCAGGAAAUGGAAGGCAGAGCAAUGGAAAUUUUGACCUGGCAACACUGACUUUGGUCCCAAACACAGUGAAGGAAAAGGCAGGAGGUGACAUAAAUCUCUGACUAUCUGAAGGAUGAGGGAAUAAUGAAUGUUUAUCCACAGGGUUAUAAAAAACUUGUAGAUUGAGUGAUUUUUUUAUCAGUCUACAAAAUGAGUGGUUGUGAGAAUGCAGUGGAGGCAAUAUUUCGUCUCAUUUGUGAAGAAUUUGAUGCACUGUCUCAACAAAGCACUUUUCUGUAAUUAAUGUGGCUUGAAUCUAAACAUCACACAGGCCAAACAUCACAAUUUAAAGGUCCUCUCAGAUGGCCAUGUGAUAUCUUGAUUCCUCCUGGAUAAAGUUGAAGUGUUAAUGACCCCAUCCUGCUGUUGAAGCCUUCUUUCUACAGACACAAAACCGCUGCAUUCAUCUGCCUCCGCCAACCUCAGUGCAGAUAACACUCAGCAAAACACCGCAUCCUCCAGAAUGGAGGCGGGGAAGUGAGAAAGCCAGCAAACGUGCAUCUGGAUGGUGAGUGCAGAAACACUGAAGCAAAGUAUGUCAUAAAAACACAGACAGUGCAGGGACACCUGACCCACGGGCAGAAGCCUCCCUGUUACAUUGGGAACAGCCUUCGCCAGCAUCUCACACUGAGGCAGCAUGAGGUGAUGAAGCCUUUGGAAAGGACUGAUUCCUGUAUGUCAAGCACAGAUGAUGAUGAAGCCAUCACGUCUGGUUACAGCUGCAUCGCAUGAGUUUGUGCUGCCCAUUCUUUGGUGCCAGUGGAUGGCAUGAUGCUUUGAAAAGUAGCCCAUCGUUGGACAUCAUGGAACAUAACUGGCAUCGUUUGUUACAGCAUCAGCGCUGGAUGGCUUAGCCUGUAGAGCUGAGGGACCACCCCAGCCUCCCAAAAUCUACUGGCAUAUGCUGUCUUGCUGUUUCAACACUGCACUGAGCUUUUUAUAAUUCUCCAGCCAAUCUUCCACUCCCUCUCUGCUUCUUUCCAGCUCAGCACCCCGUCCCAGUGCAUGAGUCCACUCCAUGCAUCCAUGUGAUGAGUUACACUUUGGAAGACCUUCCUAAACCUGCUCCUUACAAAUUGGAAAUGGAUGGGAAACCUUGGACACAUAGCAGGACCAUGGAGAGGAUUGCUAAGGGCUAGAAAGCAAAACAGGGGUUUGAGUUUUUUAAAUCUAUGCUUGACAGAACAGCAAGAAAAGCACGUAAAAGGCAGUAGUGAGGCUGGAAAAUCCCAAGUAAGGCUCUACCCCUUGCUGAAGGUCAGGAGGGUGGCCAUAAAUGCUGGCCAAGGCUGGAUCGUGAGAGGCUCCUCAGGGAUGGGGAGCCAUGGACAGAUGUGCGCUCCUGGAUCCAGCUGUGCCACUGGACAUGCUCCCUCCUCCAGACAUUCCUCCCCACCCUCCAGCUGCUCCAGCCACUGCAGCACAAAGCAGCGUCUCUCAUUGGGGUGAACUCUCCGUUGACAGAGUGGUGCAGAGCACCAUUUCCAGCUAAGGCCAGUAAUGAGUAGCUGAGGCAUAGUGACAUUUCCAGCUGACACAGCCCUCUGUGGAAAAAACAUCUGCCUGUGGCUGGAGAAUACCCAAGGUAGCCAAGCAGGAGCGGUUUGAGACGGUUAAGGAUUGCUGGGAGGAGGUCAGGAAGCCAGGCAGCAAAACCAGUUGCAUCUCAUGGAAAAGUGUAAGAAGGGCUUUUACAGCCAAAGUUGUAGCAGGGAAGCAAGCAAGGGGGGAAAUGAAACCAUGAGCAAACCAAAGGGGCUCGUACUCUGAGCCCUCCUUAAAAUCUUGUCCCCUUAGUUCCCAAAAACGUGUUCUUGGGAAAUUUUAGAUUUAAGAAAUCAAUCUGUGUAGGCUGCAGUCAUCCUAUAGUAUUCAUCCUCGGUUGGUAAUGGCAGGAUUAGUUAGUGAGCAUUUUGAGCCUUAGGUGGGUAUUUUAUAAAUUUUUUGGACAACGUGGUCCUGAGGGGCAGAAGAAAGGAAAUAUGGUGGUGAUUUAGAACAGAAAAGGAUGGAAUAUAAUUCUGGCAAUCACCAGCCUAUAAAUAUCAUAGAACAAAUAUUUAAGAAAAAGUCAUGGUGAAAUGUUCAGGGCUUGGUUCUGUCCACACAAUAGUGUCAACAGGGAGAAACUGCAGAAGCCAGAUGCUGAGUAAAAUUACCAGGAGACAAGAGUUAGACUUGAAGAAUGAUGGGCACAGAAAACUGCCAGGUUUUCUUCUUUUCCAGCUUUUUUUGGUGAGGAGAGGAAUAGCGUUAGAGAAUGACAGAGCUACGGAUGAAGGGAACACACAUUUAUUAACAUGUGUUUUUGUUUUGAUUAAUAUAUUCUGCUUCUUUGUCUUAGGAAAGAAGAAAUUAGAAAAAAAUGCGUUGGUCUGAAACACAGUUUGUACAAACUGAAAACAGAUUGAAAUGCAGUAACUAAUCCCAAACAAGAGCGUGCUGUGUUGGACAAGGCGUGUCUACGGGGGUAGGACAAGAGUCAGGAUUCAGGAUCAAGUUUCAUUAACAUCUUUGCUGAUGAUCCAGGAGGACAACACCAGUGUCAACUGAAAUUCACAGAGGAUAGUAAAUUAGAAGCAGAUUAGUAAGUAAUCAGGAGUUUUCUGAGGUUUAGAUCUGCUUCUGUUCCAAACACCUGGAAAUUUCCAUCCGAUAUAAAGAGGCAUUUCAUGCGUCGAAAAGUCUCAUCUCAUUGAGUGACAUUUUCAUUACUCACCACCUAGCCCACUCAGUCUCUUUGUAACCCUCUGAAUGUACUUCUGGGUAUCUUUCACGGGUCUUUCUGCAGGUCCAGCCCUCCUCAUUGUUAACUUGUGUGAUAUUCACAGACACGUUUCUGGAGCAAACACGUGCACCCCGGUGCUCGCAGCCGCCUUCUCCAGGUUUACUACCUGCCCGCUUUCCCCACAUGCAAAGAAAAUCACUUGAAAUCACUUGAGUGACGAUGCAGUGGCAUGCCUUUGAACGUGUGUCCCAUCUCCACGUGGCCUUCAGUGCUCUUAUCUGCUGAUACAGAUUAUACUGGUUUCAUGAGAAACCUCUCAUGUCUGCGCUUGCCGACGUGCUCCUCUGGCGCAUGGAAUGCUCCCUGACCUCCUUCUCCUUGUGCGACUUGGGCGAUUCAUGGCUGUUACUCAAGACCUUUCAUCCAUGAAUUCUUGAGUAACAUCCGUGAGUUUUCUGAGUAGAAUAAGUGUGGUCCCUGGAGUGCUGACCUGGGCUCUCCUCGCAAUCAGGAGAAAGGGAGCAGGGAAGGACAGAGCUUGGGAGCCUCUGUGUCUUCUCCCAUCACGCUGGCGUGAAGGAACAGCAUGGAGCUCUGUCGUGAGGGUCAGGAUGAGUGUUAAGAAAAGGCCCUUCACCAGAAGGUGGUGGUCAUGGAACAGGCUCCUCAGGGCAGUAGGCACAGCCCCAAGCUGUUGGAGCUCAAGAAGCAUUUGGACAAUGCUCUCAGACACAGGGUUUGGGUUUUUGGGUGGUCCUGUGCGGAGCCAGGAGUUGGACUCGAUGUUCCUUUUGGGUCCCUUCCAACUCAGGAUAUUGCAUGAUUUUAUGGUUUUAGAAGAACACAGGCUGUUUCUGGGGCUGAUUUGAUAACUUCUGAUCUUUUCUCAGAUAAAGCUCAAUGGUGUGAGGAAAUCAGGCUGGUGAUGGGAACAGCAUUACCCUACACAGAGGGAGCAGCCACAAUGGGAAGGGGAGAACUUCAUCUGUUAACUGUCUCACAUCUGCUGAAGAUGAAGGGUGGAGGGAGAGGAGGAAGACCUGGAGGUGGAACAAUGACUAAAAUGAUCUAGGGAGACUGGAAAUCAUAGGAACCUCCAUUAUCACACACUGGAAGUCUUCUCAGAAGGUCUUGACCCUUGAGAUGUCACCCCUGAGAUGUCCUCCUUUGCAGGGCCACAGAAGAGAGUGUUCCCAAGUGAGUUCAGCUCAUGGAUGAGGCCAGUUAAUGAAGUUGUCACCCAUGAGUGCUUCAUAGGACAGGGGGACCUAUCCUAUUACUGAGGACGUGGUCUGUGUGAGUCAGCCAUGGAGACUGUACACUGCAAGGGGCAGGAGCAGGCUGAAGCCUUCCAAAGAGACAAUAUUUAUCCGGUUUGGUUUGUGGUUGCUUGAAGUCUGCUGGAGAAUUUGCUCCCAAACAACCAAACAAACAGAGGAAAAAGAAAUACAUGUGAAUGAAUCCAAAUGUCUCCUUAUGGCGUUUUUGGCUUUUUUUUUCCCCCUUAAUGAAAUGUGUUGAUUUUGCUUUUGCAGCA